GUAAAAUCUGCCUGAUAUUUACAAAGGGAGAUCUCAAGGAAGUCAGUGAAGAGGUUGCCAAGUACAAGCUGGGAGCUCCUGCUCGUGUUGGACUUGUAGCACCAAUUGAUGUUAUUGUUGGCCUGAUAUUUACAAAGGGAGAUCUCAAGGAAGUCAGUGAAGAGGUUGCCAAGUACAAGCCGGCUCAAAGUAAUUAUUAUGGAGGGUGAAUCUACGAGUUGUCGUCAUUUGAAUUUUAACGAAAAUGAAGCUAGUCGGGAAGGGGACUUUGAUGUUAUUGAUGAAGGCUUAAACAUUGAAACAGAUUUGGAUAUACCACAAAUGGGGUUGGAAUUCGAUACAGAAGAAGAUGCAUAUCAAUUUUAUUUGUCAUAUGCUAAAAAAGUGGGAUUUGGUAUAAGGAGAGGUAAAAUCCACAAUGAUAAAUCCGGUAAAUUACUUGAUAGAGUUUUUUUAUUGUUGUGCCCAAGGCAAAAGAGGAAAAGACAAACGAGAUAUUUAUGUCAAAGCAAGUCGUGAUGAAACUAGAUUUGGUUGUGAGGCUAAAAUGAAGAUUAGUAAUCGAAGAAGAAGCAAGUUUAC